GACAGAGGGUGCUAGCGUUGUUCGGAAUGACUGGGCGUAAAGGGCGCGUAGGCGGGAAUAUUAGUCAAGCGUGAAAGCCCCAGGCUUAACCUGGGAACAGCGCAUGAAACGGUAUACCUAGAGGACGAGAGAGGGAAGCGGAAUUCCUAGUGUAGAGGUGAAAUUCGUAGAUAUUAGGAGGAACACCAGAGGCGAAGGCGGCUUUCUGGCUCGUAACUGACGCUGAGGCGCGAAAGCGUGGGGAGCAAACAGGAUUAGAUACCCUGGUAGUCCACGCUGUAAACGAUGAGUGCUAGACGUUGGUCUUUCGGGAUCAGUGUCGGAGCAAACGCAAUAAGCACUCCGCCUGGGGAGUACGGUCGCAAGAUUAAA
rnacentral:rRNA from 1 species